UACAGAGGGUGCAAGCGUUAAUCGGAAUUACUGGGCGUAAAGGGUGCGUAGGUGGUUUGAUAAGUUAGGUGUGAAAGUCCUGGGCCUAACCUGGGGACUGCGCCUAAUACUGUCAACCUAGAGUACUGUAGAGGAAGGUGGAAUUUCCAGUGUAGCAGUGAAAUGCGUAGAUAUUGGAAGGAACACCAGUGGCGACGGCGACUUUCUGGACAGAUACUGACACUGAGGCACGAAAGCGUGGGGAGCAAACAGG
rnacentral:rRNA from 1 species